GUUCAAGGAACUAAGGGCUUACGGGGGAUACCUUGGUAUUCAGAGGCGAAGAAGGACGUGGUUACCGACGAAACGCUUCGGGAAGCUGGAAACAAGCUAUGAUCCGGAGAUAUCCGAAUGAGGAAACUUUUUAAACUAUUUGCUGAAUUCAUAGGCAAAAAAGAGCGAACCUAGCGAAUUGAAACAUCUUAGUAGCUAGAGGAAAAGAAAGUAAAAACGAUUCCCUUAGUAGCGGCGAGCGGACCGGGAAAAAGCCUAAACCUUCUUAAUAAAUUUAUUUUUAUAAAAAAGGGGUUGUGGGAAGUAUUGAAAUAAAGUGCAAAGGUUAGAUGAAUUAGUUGGAAUGCUAAAUCCUAGAAAGUGAAAAUCUUGUAAUCGAAAACCUUAAAACCUUUAGUUUGAUUAGAUACUCUCCCGAGUAGCAUGGGGCACGUGAAAUCCCGUGUGAAUCUGCGAGGACCACCUCGUAAGGCUAAAUACUACUGAAUGACCGAUAGUGUAAUAGUACCGUGAGGGAAAGGUGAAAAGAACCCCGGGAGGGGAGUGAAAAGAACAUGAAACCGUAAGCUUACAAGCAGCAGAAGGAUGACUUUUAACGUCUGCCUGCGUGCCUGUUGAAGAAUGAGCCGGCGACUUGUAGUUGGUGGCAAGGUUAAGGUAAAAAAUACUGGAGCCAUAGUGAAAACGAGUCUUAAUAGGGCGUCGCAAUGUCACCAAUUACGGACCCGAACCCGGAUGAUCUAACCAUGGCCAGGAUGAAGCUCAGGUAAUACUAAGUGGAGGUCCGAACUGACUGAUGUUGAAAAAUCAGCAGAUGAGCUGUGGUUAGGGGUGAAAUGCCAAUCGAAUUCGGAGCUAGCUGGUUCUCCCCGAAAUGUGUUUAGGCGCAGCGGUUAGUGUUAUAGCGUAGGGGUAAAGCACUGUCUCGGUGCGGGCUGGUAAUUCGGUACCAAAUCGAUGCAAACUCUGAAUACUACGUGUAUAGCUAACCAGUAAGACUAUGGGGGAUAAGCUCCAUUGUCAAGAGGGAAACAGCCCAGAUCACCAGCUAAGGCCCCUAAAUAAUUACUAAGUGGUAAAGGAGGUGGGAAGACUUAAACAACCAGGAGGUUUGCUUAGAAGCAGCAAUCCUUUAAAGAGUGCGUAAUAGCUCACUGGUCGAGUAAUCCUGCGCCGAAAAUGAACGGGACUAAGUAAUUUGCCGAAGCUGUGAGAUUAAAAAACUAAUAAUAAUUAGAUAAUCGGUAGGGGAGCGUUCUGUUAUAGAUUGAAGCGUUAGCGUAAGCGGGCGUGGACGAAGCAGAAGUGAGAAUGUCGGCUUGAGUAGCGAAAACAUGGGUGAGAAUCCGAUGCCCUGAAAACCUAAGGUUUCCUCCGGAAGGCUCGUCCGCGGGGGGUAAGUCAGGACCUAAGGCGAGGCUGAAAAGCGUAGUCGAUGGACAAUGGGUUAAUAUUCCUAUACUAUUUUUUAUUGACAACGAGGGACGAAGACAGCUAGACUAGCCAAAUAUUGGUUAUUGGUUUAAGUAUACGAGGUGUUGAGAAGUAGAGAAAAUACUUUGAGCUGAGUUAUGAAUACGGAAUAAUGUGUGCAUUAUCUGAAGUAGUUGAUGUUAUGCUUCCAAGAAAAGCUUGCACUGUCAUAAAUAAAAAAUACCUGUACUCUAAACCGACACAGGUGGGUUGGUAGAGUAUACCAAAGGGCGCGAGAUAACUCUCUCUAAGGAACUCGGCAAAAUAACCCUGUAACUUCGGGAGAAGGGGUACCUAUUAGGUUGCAAUAACAAGGUCCAAGCGACUGUUUACCAAAAACACAGGUCUCCGCUAAGUUGUAAGACAACGUAUGGGGGCUGACGCCUGCCCAGUGCCGGAAGGUUAAAGAAGUUGGUUAGUUAUUAACGACGCUAAUGACUGAAGCCCCGGUGAACGGCGGCCGUAACUAUAACGGUCCUAAGGUAGCGAAAUUCCUUGUCGGGUAAGUUCCGACCCGCACGAAAGGCGUAACGAUUUGGACACUGUCUCAGAGAGAGACUCGGUGAAAUAGACUUGUCUGUGAAGAUGCGGACUACCUGCACCAGGACAGAAAGACCCUAUGAAGCUUUACUGUAACUUGAAAUUGGUUUCGGGUUUUAUUUGCGCAGCAUAGGUGGGAGGCUUUGAUGUUAAUCUUACGGGGUUAAUGGAGCCAUCAGUGAGAUACCACUCUAAUAAAACUAGAAUUCUAACCCUAUAUCGUUAGCCGGUUAGGGGACAUUUUCAGGCGGGCAGUUUGACUGGGGCGGUCGCCUCCUAAAAGGUAACGGAGGCGUACAAAGGUUUCCUCAGAUCGGUCAGAAAUCGAUCGUAGAGUGCAAAGGCAAAAGGAAGCUUGACUGUGAGACCUACAAGUCGAACAGAGACGAAAGUCGGUCUUAGUGAUCUGGCGAUAUUGAGUGGAAAAGUCGUCACUCAACGGAUAAAAGUUACUCUAGGGAUAACAGGCUGAUCUCCCCCAAGAGUUCACAUCGACGGGGAGGUUUGGCACCUCGAUGUCGGCUCAUCGCAUCCUGGGGCGGUAGUACGUCCCAAGGGUUGGGCUGUUCGCCCAUGAAAGCGGUACGUGAGCUGGGUUCAGAACGUCGUGAGACAGUUCGGUCCAUAUCCGGUGUAGGCGUUAGAGUAUUGAGAGGAUUCUUCUUUAGUACGAGAGGACCGAGAAGAACAUACCGCUGGUGUACCAGUUAUCAUACCAAUGGUAAACGCUGGGUAGCUACGUAUGGAAAGGAUAACCGCUGAAAGCAUCUAAGUGGGAAGCCCACCUCAAGAUGAGUACUCUUAUUGUGAAAACAAGUAAGAUCACGGCAAGACUAGCCGGUAACAUACUAUUCUUUCGAGUAUAGUUGUAAGAUAGGCAUCAAGUGGAAGUAUAGUAAUAUAUUAAGCUGAGAUGUACUAAUAGAUCGAGGACUUGAACUU
rfam:Ectocarpus siliculosus chloroplast, complete genome.